CGGAACUUCAUGGAGGGCCAGUAUUUACUGCGUCGCUGUGGAGACGGCAGAGAUCGAGACGUCAGGCGGGAUUUGGCAGGGAUGGGUGUGGUAAAGUUCCUCAUUAUGUUGAGGUUGGACGCCUUCAGCUGCAGAAAAUUCAGGCAACUGACAAAACAUAAGCAGACUUACAGCAGAUUGGAUGACCCGUGGACACGGUCCUAGCAUGAAUUUGGUAGCUUUACAGGACUGGAGCUGCGUGGAGCAGCAAAACGCCACACUGACCGGUAAGAGGUAGAGAGGUGGGCUGGCAGCCGGGUGCGAGUUGAUGUAGAGUGCUAGCACUGCAAAGGCCAGCAGCAGUACCACGGCUGACACCACCCCGGCGAUUACGCCCGUGUGCACCGGCGCCCCCUGCUGUCCUGGAAGUCCCGUUUUCUGACCUGCAAGUGAGAGAGCCGUAAGAUGAGCGAAGCGAGAUGUGGACGGCGAACGGCUGCGAACUCCGGUACGGUUCAGCGAUUUAAUUAACGUCAACGUUUACGUGGAUAGGAGGGAUGUUACAGAAGUCAGCUUCUGUCUUAAAAAUCCCCUGACAGGCGUGGUAAAUGGAUUAUGGAGAUGAAAGAGACUGACCACCGGGAAAUUAAAGAAUAAUUUAAACAGCCCCCGACUUCUCGCCCACCAUCACAAAGGCAGCAGAUUGUUUGACUAGACUCAUCAUAUGAAAGAUUGUCAGACAAUAGACGGCACUCCACUGCAGGGCUGGAUCUGCCUUUUCAGAUGCUCUAGGCAAAGCCUUACUUAGGAGACCCACCUACCAUGGAAACUGACGAGCACUGAAGUCCAAGGCAGCUGCUCUUCCAUCUAAAUCUAGAGCCAGCCCUUCUCUAUUGGCCGAUUAAGUUAACACACUUGGAGUUUGAGCAUGAUCGACGCAUUUUUACAGGAAUUACAAUGUACAGACCAAAACAGCACGGAAUACAGAUGUAUAAAGCAGCAUAUAAAAUGAAGAUCUAGGCCUAGCUUCCAUAACGACCCCAUAUCACUGGAAGCUUCUGGACGGAAAGUCAAACACCCUACGUCCAAUUAUCUGAGGCUUUUAUCUAAAGAGACUUAAAAGUAUUCACGUGUUGCAUCAAACGAUUCAGGCCCCACAUCCUUCGCAUUGUUAGCACAAUGCUCUAUUUGCGGAGCAUUACCAGUCCUUACAGUCCCAGAACCGCGAGCCCGCCGGUAAAAUUGUUAUCGCUCAAGCCCUUAAAUAUCCUCGGUAAGGCCACCUGUGAAAUGCAGGGGUGCAUUACCGCAUUAUGACCAAAUGAUAAUGGCGCUGGCAUAGCGAAUUUGUUUGUCGGUGCUGGAGAAACGGGGCAGGGAUGGGCUCAAGGCAGGAGAGCAGACAGAUACAAACAGGGAACAUGAAAAAUAAGACCUGGCACUGAUGACGAUGACAACUAGCAAGCAGGAGACUGGUGAUGUUUCUGGGUCAGUAAACUUGGCGGUGAGAGAGAAGCAACGCGAUAUACUUGGUCACCCGACUCCGCUUCUUGUUUUAGAGAUUUAAUCUGUAAUCUAAAUGUAUUCGCUAACCAUCUGCAUGAACGAAGCACCGGCACAGAGCAAAGUCUGGCGGCACCAAGACACGGCGAAAUCCAUAAAUCACCGAGCACGUUUACUUCAACUGCAUUCCCCUCAGAACCAAAACGAAGGAAAGCACCGAUCAGUAGUAUCAAAGCCCUCAAUAGCAAGAAAAAGUUUCUAAACAUCACAACCCUACAUCAUAUCCGUUGAUCUAAUCAUUAAAUUAUUUGUUCCUGCCUUGUGCAUUAUGCAUUAUUCCAAACGACUCCACAGAAACAGCGAGGACAAAUAAAACUAAUGUACUGCCGUUCGCAUCCAAAUGCUAAAAGUCCAUUUCGGCUCGCUGAAAGUCGUCUAUCAAGUGUUUAAACAAAGCAUUCGUCGGAGUCCCAUUCCUGAUAUAGUUGGACAAAAUCAUCUGAUGAAAGGAGCGUAUGCUCCAACAGCUGUCCGUAGCCUAUGACGGCACUGCAUUGUGCAAUUACGCUAGAACAGAGAGUUCAUGA